UAUACCCCAAUUUUUUUUUCUUGGAGUGAUAAAAAUCCAGGGCAAGAGAACAGAGGGAGUCUGGUUGGAGUCGCAGGUGGGCUGAGUUGAGUGACUGGUUGGCAGGAGCAUGUAGUUUAGAGUGAAGCACAGUAGAAGUAGUACGUAAAUUUCAGAGCAUUUCGGCCACUAAAGAGACAGUACAGCCGCCCACCGGGUCCUACACUCAGGCAGAUAGCAGACCCAUCUCCCUCUCCUCUCCACAUCUCCAUCAGUACCCUUUGGAAUCCAUUUUCCAUCUUUGGAGUUUGGACUACGCCUCUCUGCUUUGCCAAACCAAACCAGCCCAAAAAAAAUAAAAAGCUGUCGACACCACCAAAGUACGGCUACUAUUUCGUCCUCUUGGGUCUCAAUUGCAAAACUGAACGCUUUCUUUAGAGCCAAUCGAGUUCUAUGUCCUUUGUAUAUUACUGUUGGAUCUUUUGAGAAGAAGGAUAUUAUCGGAUGGACAUGCUACAGCUAUGCUGUUUGAAUUCCACUUGCUCAGAGGAGAAAUUUUUU